AUACGAAGGUCCCAAGCGUUAUUCGGAAUCACUGGGCGUAAAGAGUACGUAGGCGGUUUGGUAAGUCAGGUGUGAAAUCCCGAAGCUCAACUUCGGAACUGCAUCCGAUACUGCCAGACUAGAGUAAUGGAGAGGCAGGUGGAAUUCUCGGUGUAGCAGUGAAAUGCGUGGAUAUCGAGAGGAAGACCAAUGGCGAAGGCAGCCUGCUGGACAUUUACUGACGCUGAGGUACGAAGGCUAGGGGAGCGAAAGGGAUUAGAUACCCUAGUAGUCC
rnacentral:rRNA from 1 species